UACGGGGGGGGCAAGCGUUGUUCGGAAUUACUGGGCGUAAAGGCUCGUAGGUGGCCAACUAAGUCAGACGUGAAAUCCCUCGGCUUAACCGGGGAACUGCGUCUGAUACUGGAUGGCUUGAGUUUGGGAGAGGGACGCGGAAUCCAGGUGUAGCGGUGAAAUGCGUAGAUAUCUGGAGGAACACCGGUGGCGAAGGCGGCGUCCUGGACCAACACUGACACUG
rnacentral:rRNA from 1 species